UCCGCUAGGGGGGCCUUGAAAAGGCUGAGAUUAAAGUGCGACUUUAAGACCCUUGGAACCUGAUCUGGACAAUACCAGCGGAGGGAAGUGGAGCCA
rnacentral:ncRNA from 1 species